UACUCCUACGGGAGGCAGCAGUGGGGAAUCUUGCACAAUGGGGGCAACCCUGAUGCAGCGACGCCGCGUGAGCGAUGAAGCCCUUCGGGGUGUAAAGCUCUUUCGGCAGGGACGAUAAUGACGGUACCUGAAGAAGAAGCUGCGGCUAACUACGUG
rnacentral:rRNA from 1 species